GUGGGAACCCUUAAACCUGAUCCGGAUAAUACCGGCGUAGGGAUGGUUCACAAUAUAGCCU
rnacentral:ncRNA from 17 species